AUGGAUUGGCGUGGCCGAGGGGUCAGCAUGGCCGAUGGGUUGGCGCGGCCAAGGGGCCAAGGGGUGGUCAAGGGGUCGGCACGGCCGAUGGGUUGGCGUGGCCGAGGGCUUGGCAUGGCCAAGGGCCAAGGGUGCUCAAAGGGUCAGCACGGCUGGGGGUCAGUGUGGCUGGGGGUCAGUGUGGCUGGGGGUCAGUGUGGCUCAGGGGUCCAUGGUCUGAGGACUGACCAAGAGUUUGGCACAGCCAGUGGCUUGGCAUGGCCAAAGGGUCAGUGUGGUCAAGGGGCCAGCCUGGCCAAUGGGUUGGCGUGGCCAAAGCACGGCCAGGGUGUUGGCACGGCCAAUGGCUUGGUGUGGCCGAGGGGUUGGUGUGGCCGAGGGGUCAGUGUAGCCAAGGGGUCAAUGUGGCUGAGGGGUCAGUGUGACCCCGGGAUUGGCAUGGCCGAGGGGUCGGUGUGGCCGAGGGGUCGGCACAGCCGAUGGGUUGGCGUGGCCGAGGGGUUGGUGUGGCCCCAGGAUUGGCAUGGCCGAGGGGUCAGUGUGUCCAAGGGGUCGGUGUGGCCGAGGGGUCGGUGUGACCCCAGGAUUGGCAUGGCCAAGGGGUUGGCGUGGCCAAAGGUUUGGCAUGGCCGAUGCGUCGUUGUGACCGAGGGGUCAGUGGGACCCGGGGGUUGGCAGAGCCGGGGGGUGACCGAGGGGUCAGCACGGCCGAGGGGUUGGUGUGGCCAAGGGGUCACCGGGACCGGGGUCAGCACGGCCGAGGGGUUGGCGUGGCCGAGGGGUCGGUGGGAUCAGGGUCAGCAUGGCCGAUGGGUUGGCGUGGCCGAGGGGUCACCGGGACCGGGGUCAGCAUGGCCGAUGGGUUGGCGUGGCCAAGGGGUCACCGGGACCGGGGUCAGUGCGGCCGAUGGGUUGGCGUGGCCAAGGGGUCACCGGGACCGGGGUCAGCACGGCCGAGGGGUUGGCGUGGCCGAGGGGUCACUGAGACCGGGGUCAGCGCAGCCGAGGGGCCGGGCCGGGGUCAGGGGUCACUGGGACCGGGGUCAGCGCGGCCGAGGGGCCGGGCCGGGGUCAGGGGUCACUGGGACCGGGGUCAGCGCGGCCGAGGGGUCACUGGGACCGGGGUCAGCGCGGCCGAGGGGCCGGGCCGGGGUCAGGGGUCACUGGGACCGGGGUCAGCGCGGCCGAGGGGCCGGGCUGGGGUCAGGGGUCAGCUGGGCUCCCGCUCUGCCUUCUCCCGGAUGGCUUUUCCAAAGGCGAGGUGGCCCUGCCUCUGCGGAUGUCCGGAGCGGGGACGGGAGCCGGGGACACCGGGAAUCACCGGGAAGGGACGGCAGCGCUUCGGGAACGGCCACGGCACCGGACC
rnacentral:lncRNA from 1 species